rnacentral:rRNA from 1 species
CCUACGGGUGGCAGCAGUGGGGGAUAUUGCACAAUGGGGGAAACCCUGAUGCAGCGACGCCGCGUGGGUGAAGAAGCGCCUCGGCGCGUAAAGCCCUGUCAGCAGGGAAGAAAAUGACGGUACCUGAAGAAGAAGCACCGGCUAACUACGUGCCAACUGCCGCGGUAAUACGUAGGGGGCAAGCGUUAUCCGGAUUUACCGGGUGUAAAGGGGGCGCAGUCGGCGAUGCAAGCCAGGAGUGAAAGCCCGGGGCCCAACCCCGGGACCGCCGUUGGAACUGCGUGGCUCGAGUGCAGGAGGGGCAGGCGGAAUGCGUGGUGUAGCGGUGAAAUGCAUAGAUAUCAGGAAGAACACCGAUGGCGAAGGCAGCCUACUGGAGUGCAACUGACGUUGAGGCCCGAAAGCGUGGGGAGCGAACAGGAUUAGAGACCCGAGUAGUC